UUUACCAACGACUUUUGAAAAUAAUAAAUUGGAGGAUUCUAUAUACAAGGAAGAUAAAGGAGAUGAAAUAAGCUCUAUAAACCAUGGAAUGACUGAUGAUUUUUAAGAUAUUAAAGCAGAAGCUCAGCGAUCAGAAGACACAGAAACAGCAAUAAAAAGGAGUGUUAACAGUCUAGCUGAAACAGUGGAAGAAGAUGGGUCUUCAUUGAAUACAACAAAUUGUAACAAUGUUGACAAGCUC